AGUAACGCGUGAGGAACCUGCCUCAAAGAGGGGGACAACAGUUGGAAACGACUGCUAGUACCGCAUAAGCCCACGGCUCGGCAUCGAGCAGAGGGAAAAGGAGCAAUCCGCUUUGAGAUGGCCUCGCGUCCGAUUAGCUAGUUGGUGAGGUAAUGGCCCACCAAGGCGACGAUCGGUAGCCGGACUGAGAGGUUGAACGGCCACAUUGGGACUGAGACACGGCCCAG
rnacentral:rRNA from 1 species